rnacentral:rRNA from 1 species
GACGAACGCUGGCGGCGUGCCUAAUACAUGCAAGUAGAACGCUGAAGAGAGGAGCUUGCUCUUCUUGGAUGAGUUGCGAACGGGUGAGUAACGCGUAGGUAACCUGCCUGGUAGCGGGGGAUAACUAUUGGAAACGAUAGCUAAUACCGCAUAAAAUUGAUUAUUGCAUGAUAAUUAAUUGAAAGAUGCAAUUGCAUCACUACCAGAUGGACCUGCGUUGUAUUAGCUAGUUGGUGAGGUAACGGCUCACCAAGGCGACGAUACAUAGCCGACCUGAGAGGGUGAUCGGCCACACUGGGACUGGGACACGGCCCAGACUCCUACGGGAGGCAGCAGUAGGGAAUCUUCGGCAAUGGGGGGAACCCUGACCGAGCAACGCCGCGUGAGUGAAGAAGGUUUUCGGAUCGUAAAGCUCUGUUGUAAGAGAAGAACGGGUGUGAGAGUGGAAAGUUCACACUGUGACGGUAUCUUACCAGAAAGGGACGGCUAACUACGUGCCAGCAGCCGCGGUAAUACGUAGGUCCCGAGCGUUGUCCGGAUUUGUUGGGCGUAAAGCGAGCGCAGGCGGUUAGAUAAGUCUGAAGUUAAAGGCUGUGGCUUAACCAUAGUAUGCUUUGGAAACUGUUUAACUUGAGUGCAGAAGGGGAGAGUGGAAUUCCAUGUGUAGCGGUGAAAUGCGUAGAUAUAUGGAGGAACACCGGUGGCGAAAGCGGCUCUCUGGUCUGUAACUGACGCUGAGGCUCGAAAGCGUGGGGAGCAAACAGGAUUAGAUACCCUGGUAGUCCACGCCGUAAACGAUGAGUGCUAGGUGUUAGGCCCUUUCCGGGGCUUAGUGCCGCAGCUAACGCAUUAAGCACUCCGCCUGGGGAGUACGACCGCAAGGUUGAAACUCAAAGGAAUUGACGGGGGCCCGCACAAGCGGUGGAGCAUGUGGUUUAAUUCGAAGCAACGCGAAGAACCUUACCAGGUCUUGACAUCCCUCUGACCGCUCUAGAGAUAGAGUUUUCCUUCGGGACAGAGGUGACAGGUGGUGCAUGGUUGUCGUCAGCUCGUGUCGUGAGAUGUUGGGUUAAGCCCCGCAACGAGCGCAACCCCUAUUGUUAGUUGCCAUCAUUCAGUUGGGCACUCUAGCGAGACUGCCGGUAAUAAACCGGAGGAAGGUGGGGAUGACGUCAAAUCAUCAUGCCCCUUAUGACCUGGGCUACACACGUGCUACAAUGGCUGGUACAACGAGUCGCAAGCCGGUGACGGCAAGCUAAUCUCUGAAAGCCAGUCUCAGUUCGGAUUGUAGGCUGCAACUCGCCUACAUGAAGUCGGAAUCGCUAGUAAUCGCGGAUCAGCACGCCGCGGUGAAUACGUUCCCGGGCCU